rnacentral:lncRNA from 10 species
UUGACAGUUUGGCUUCCCUGUUCUGGGUGGCAAAGCCUGUGGAGUACUCACCUACCUGCUGCAUGAAGGCAGCAUGGAGGGACUGUGGUGGAUUAUCUGCAAAGAUGGCCAAAAUUCUCUCAUCCCUGCAGGCACAUACAAGAUGCCAGAAUCAGUCAAAACUAAGCUCACUGUCCUUGCUAAUAUUCUGCCCCAGAGAAGAACUGAAGCUCAGCUCUUCACCCUACAGAAAGCCUGAAUUUUGUAAAUGUUCUGCUUAGAAUGAGGAAGAAAGAUGAAGAAUGAGGAGGAAGAAGGAAGGAACGAGAGAGAGCCAGGUUUCCAGAAGUUCCCCAGUCAUUGAGCAUUUCUGAGGCUCUUGAUGCAUAUGCCAAGUAGUUAUGGAGAAAGACACAGCAGCUUACCUCUGCAGGCAUCAUUGUGUGAAAGGAAGACCCAGGCUCUCUCACCACCCUUGAACAGAAGCCUUUUGCUAAGGUGAUAGCUACAUGUCCAAGCCUAUUGCGUGGCAUGCAUUUUGCCUUCUGCAGCCCACUAAAGGAAAUUGAAGUAUACAGAAUGCUUAUUUGGUCUACUCAGUAUCAUCCUAAAUGUAUGUACCAAUGCUUAGGAGUUU